CAUAAUCAUUAGUUUUUUAAUUGAAAACUUGUAUGAAUGGUUGAACAAAAAAAUUUCUGUCUCUUUAUUAUAAAUUGAAUUUAACUUUUAAGUGAAAAGGCUUAAAUUUUUUAAGGGGACGAUAAGACCCUAUAAAGCUUUAUAAUCGGGUAUCUUUUUUUAAAAAUAAGUUAUAAAGAUAAAAUUUAUCUUUUUAUUUUGUUGGGGCGACACAGAUAUAAGUUAGGUUAACUGUCAGGUUUAAAAACAUAAAAUUUAUGAAAAAUAAAAUGAUCCUAAAUAUAGAUUAAAAGACAAAGUUACUUUAGGGAUAACAGCGUAAUUUUUUUUAAGAGUUCUUAUCGAAAAAAAAGUUUGCGACCUCGAUGUUGAAUUAAAAUAUCUUUAUAGUGUAGCCGUUAUAUAAA
rnacentral:rRNA from 1 species